UACGUAGGUGACAAGCGUUGUCCGGAUUUACUGGGCGUAAAGAGCGCGCAGGCGGCUUGGUAAGUCGGAUGUGAAAUCCCGAGGCUCAACCUCGGGUCUGCAUCCGAUACUGCCCGGCUAGAGGUAGGUAGGGGAGAUCGGAAUUCCUGGUGUAGCGGUGAAAUGCGCAGAUAUCAGGAGGAACACCGGUGGCGAAGGCGGGUCUCUGGGCCGAUACUGACGUGAGGAGCGAAAGCGUGGGGAGCGAACAGG
rnacentral:rRNA from 1 species